AAGAAAUAAUCCAGGCUUCCCACCGGUCCCAAAACUCAGCUCAAAACCUGAAGAUGCUGUGUUGAUGUUCACUGCUAUGAAGACCAAAUAUAAUGUAGUUUAGAAAUUUUAGAAAUAAAUGGAUCGUUUGGGUCAGUGUGUAUGGAAACAUCUCUACAGUCCCAUGUAAAUGGAGGUGGACAGAAGCACUCCAGCGUGUAGCACUGAGUGAAGCACACUCUAUGAGAGCCAGCUGUACUGCAGUACACUGCUUGAAGGCAGCCACCAAAGUCGUCAAACACCGAGGUUCAAGCCUCUGCAGUGACUGAGCCAGCAAGCCCUAUGUGCUCCAGUGAAGCUCAUUAACUCUCUCCUUAUUCCUUGUGUAGAAUAAUCAGGUUUUAUUUUGCAUUAAGAUUUUAUUUUGCAUACCUGUGCUGGGAUCUUGAAUAUGUCUUAAUGCAGUGGAGAAAUGUCUUUACAAUUUGAUACAAUGCUGUGGGACUAUUUAUCAUCCAGCCUUAAUACUGACAAAAUAUUUAGACAAUGUCUGUAUUCACCAGCAGUUUAAGAAAGAUUAGCAAAAGGACAAGAGUAACUUUGGAAAUGAGCAUGAGGAGUUGUAUUUAGCAAUACAGUGCAAGCCAAAACCGUAACAGAUGUUUGUGUUUGAUCUAGGUCAUGCUUUGAAAUAUGAAGGCAGAAGGAAAAAUUUCAGAGGUGUGAUUUAAGCAGCGCUGUGUGCUGUUAGCCCAGAGAACUGUGAACAACAACAACACGGUCAAUUAUAGAUCCAGAGGUUUACAAAGCAGCGUUAGACAUAAACAACAGGGAAGCAAUUUAAAAACAAUAUACGCAUAAUGAAUUGCCUCUUUCAGUAAAGAAAACAUUACCCAGCAUAGCACAUAAUAGCGGCAGGAAUAAGGUUUGAUUGAAAAAUUGAGCUUUCUUUCAUUUCAAUAUAAUAGUUCUGUGCAUAUGUCAUAUAUGAGCAUGUGCUACAGUAUGCAUGCAAUGCUGCUGCUAAUCAGCACAUACCAUCGUUACUGCCUAAAUUCUGACUUGUCCCUGGGGCUCAGCUACACCUCUGCCACACAUGUUUGCAGCACC